rnacentral:ncRNA from 1 species
UUUCCCUCAGGAUAGCAGAAGCUCGUAUCAGUUUUAUGAGGUAAAGCGAAUGAUUAGACGUCUCGGGGUCGAAAUGACCUUAGCGUAUUCUCAAACUUUAAAUAUGUAAGAAGUCCCUGUUGCUUUAUUGAACGCGGACGUUUGAAUGCAGAGCUUUUAGUGGGCCAUUUUUGGUAAGCAGAACUGGCGAUGCGGGAUGAACCG